GACAGGUCGACCAGACGCCUGAGCUGCUUGCCCGUUCGCCAGCGCCCAUGUGGGCCUGCUCCAGUGCGCCCGGCCAGGCCCAGCAGUGCCCCCAACCAAUUCCCAGCUCGCCUCGCCCGUGUGGACCGCGACCUCACCCAGCAACAAGCCCAAUCCCGCAUCGAGCCGGGUCGUGAGGCCUCUGGUGAACGCCGCUCGCUAAAUCCCGCCCAAUGCACGUUAUAGAUAUGUCGCGCUUGCCUUUGUUUAGGCCUAGUAAUAGAUCCGACCCGUAGUUGAUUUUUUAGUCUGCGAAUUUGUCCAAUUUUAAGGGAAUUUGAUAAUUACAGAAAUUGCAUCAUUUUAAAAUGUUAAUAACUAUUUAACACCGCAUCGGAUUAAAAUAAAUCAGAUAUGUAGAAUGUGUAGAAUUUUGUGUAGAAUAAUAAUUUCCAACUUUGAUGCAUGUUUCAAAAUGUUUAACCUGCUGUUUGCUUUGAUUUGCAUGAUGACAAUUUAAAAUGAUUUAAUUUGUAGCAAAUUAAACGUGAAAUGGAUUUAAAAACUUCA
rnacentral:lncRNA from 1 species